UUGCUGUCUGUCUUUCAAACUCUGUUGCUUUUUAUUUUUCAGGCACUCAGCUCUCCUUAAUGCCAUUCAACAGAAAACUUUUUCUGGGACCAUAGAGAGCCUAGGGAGUCUUUGCCAAUAUGUGAAGACCGAGAGUCAGAAGAGUAUAAAGUUUCAAUAUGCACAUUCAAUUCUGCAGCCUCUGUUGAGACCAAAAAGUCAUGUUCAGUUUAUCAAGGCAUCCUGAACAUGACCAAUAACAAGCAAACAUUUUAAGCCGGCUAUGUGUGUUUGUUUAAAAAACCGUGGCUUCCUGCAGCCUGUACCUCUCUUAUUAGUUCUGCUUUGAUUCUCCUGUCAUUAAUUGUUAAUAAAGGUACAAAAUAACA